rnacentral:rRNA from 1 species
AGUGAACGCUGGCGGUAGGCCUAACACAUGCAAGUCGAACGGCAGCACAGUAAGAGCUUGCUCUUACGGGUGGCGAGUGGCGGACGGGUGAGGAAUACAUCGGAAUCUACUUUUUCGUGGGGGAUAACGUAGGGAAACUUACGCUAAUACCGCAUACGACCUACGGGUGAAAGCAGGGGAUCUUCGGACCUUGCGCGAUUGAAUGAGCCGAUGUCGGAUUAGCUAGUUGGCGGGGUAAAGGCCCACCAAGGCGACGAUCCGUAGCUGGUCUGAGAGGAUGAUCAGCCACACUGGAACUGGGACACGGUCCAGACUCCUCCGAGAGGCAGCAGUGGGGAAUAUUAGACAAUGGGCGCAAGCCUGAUCCAGCCAUACCGCGUAGGUGAAGAAGGCCUUCGGGUUGUAAAGACCUUUUGUUGGGAAAGAAAAGCAGCAGGUUAAUACCCCGCUGUUCUGACGGUACCCAAGGAAUAAGCACCGGCUAACUUCGUG